AAGUCGUAACAAGGUUUCCGUAGGUGAACCUGCGGAAGGAUCAUUAAUGUAACCGGACCGUUCGGGUGCCGUAAAACGCAUCUGUUUGGAAAGGGAGAUAUCAUACACCCUGUGUUUAUUUACCUUUGUUGCUUUGGCGGGCCGUCCUUUUAGGCGUCGGCCCCGGCUGAUCGCGUCCGCCAGAGGACCCAAACUCUUUUAUCAGUGAUGUCUGAGUACUAUAUAAUAGUUAAAACUUUCAACAACGGAUCUCUUGGUUCUG
rnacentral:misc_RNA from 1 species